CGGCGACCUCGUUAGCGACGCCAUGGGUGGCGUCCUCGUUAGCGAUAUUGUGGACAACGUCCUCGAUAUUGUGGACAGCGUCCUCGUUAACGAUGCCCUGGGUGGCGUCCUCGUUAGCGAUGUAGUGGACCACGUCCUCGUUAUCGAUGCUCUGGGCGGCGUCCUCGUUAGCGAUGUCGUGGACGGCUUCCUCGUUAGCGAUGCCCUGGGCGGCGUCCUCGUUUGCGAUGCCCUGGAUGGCGUCCUCGUUAGCGAUGUCAUAUAUGGCGUCCUCAGUAGCGAUGUCAUAUACAGCGUCCUCAUUAGCGAUGUCGUGUACGGUGUCCUCAUGGGGAGCUAGAAGAACACAGAGUUAAGGUUGAAGUCCAGCAAAAUUGCGACUGUCCUCUUUACAACUUGCGAGACCACACUGCUUCUGCAUUUGCCUGUUGCCUCCUUUUCUUUGUCAUGCAUGCAUAUUAAUUGAGGAUGGAGAAUAUCUACGCUUGUUCAGGCCAGCCAACAUACGACAGUUUACUUCAAGAGAGGAGACAUGGGUUGAAUGCUGGUAUGUUUUAACUCUGCAGCGCAAACAGUUGCAACAAGUGUGGUGAACUAAUCACCAGAUGGCCCUUUGCUGCCUUAUUUGUCAUUGUGCCUUACAUGUAGCUUGCAGGAUUUGAUUACGCUUAUGUUUUGUGGUGAUCAUACUUUCAACUAUUCCUAAAAUACUGCUUCAGUCUUAUCUGUUUGGGGUCAACU
rnacentral:lncRNA from 1 species